AUUGAACGCUGGCGGCAGGCCUAACACAUGCAAGUCGAACGAGUGGCGGACGGGUGAGUAAUGUCUGGGAAUCUGCCCGAUGGAGGGGGAUAACUACUGGAAACGGUAGCUAAUACCGCAUACCAUCAGAUGUACCCAUAUGGGAUUAGCUGGUUGGUGGGGUAACGGCUCACCAAGGCGACGAUCCCUAGCUGGUCUGAGAGGAUGACCAGCCACACUGGAACUGAGACACGGCCCAGACUCCUACGGGAGGCAGCAGUGGGGAAUAUUGCACAAUGGGCGCAAGCCUGAUGCAGCCAUGCCGCGUGUAUGAAGAAGGCCUUCGGGUUGUAAAGUACUUUCGGCGGGGAGGCGUUACCCGCAGAAGAAGCACCGGCUAACUCCGUGCCAGCAGCCGCGGUAAUUC
rnacentral:rRNA from 1 species